rnacentral:rRNA from 1 species
UACAGAGGGGGUUAGCGUUGUUCGGAAUGACUGGGCGUAAAGCGCGCGUAGGCGGAUCAUCAAGUCGGGGGUGAAAUCCCGGGGCUCAACCCCGGAAUGGCCUUCGAGACUGGUGGUCUUGAGUUCGAGAGAGGUGAGUGGAAUUCCGAGUGUAGAGGUGAAAUUCGUAGAUAUUCGGAAGAACACCAGUGGCGAAGGCGACUCGCUGGACAGGUAUUGACGCUGAGGUGCGAAAGCGUGGGGAGCAAACAGG